rnacentral:rRNA from 1 species
CCUACGGGUGACUGCAGUAGGGAAUAUUGCUCAAUGGGGGAAACCCUGAAGCAGCAACGCCGCGUGGAGGAUGAAGGUUUUCGGAUUGUAAACUUCUUUUGUCAGAGAAGAUAAUGACGGUAUCUAACGAAUAAGCACCGGCUAACUCCGUGCCAGCAGCCGCGGUAAUACGGAGGGUGCAAGCGUUACUCGGAAUCACUGGGCGUAAAGGGCGCGUAGGCGGGAGAGCAAGUCAGAUGUGAAAUCCUAUGGCUUAACCAUAGAACUGCAUUUGAAACUGUUAUUCUAGAGUAUGGGAGAGGUAGGUGGAAUUCUUGGUGUAGGGGUAAAAUCCGUAGAGAUUAGGAGGAAUACUCGUUGCGAAGGCGGCCUGCUAGAACAUAACUGACGCUGAUGCGCGAAAGCGUGGGGAGCAAACAGGAUUAGAUACCCCGGUAGUC